rnacentral:rRNA from 1 species
UACGUAGGCCCCAAGCGUUAUCCGGAAUUACUGGGCGUAAAGUGCGCGUAGGCGUUUUUGUAAGUCGGUCGUUAAAUCUUACAGCUUAACUGUGAGACCGCGAGCGAUACUACAAGAAUUGAGUUUUGCAGGGGCUAGCAGAAUUUCUGGAGUAGGGGUGAAAUCCGUUGAUACCAGAAGGAAUACCAAUGGCGAAGGCAGCUAGCGGGGCAAUAACUGACGCUGAGAGCGCGAAAGCGGGGGGAGCAAACGGG